rnacentral:ncRNA from 1 species
GUCCUUCGGGUCUGUGGUUGAAAGCCGAUGCCAGUCGCAGGCAAAGCGGUCCACGUAAUCCGCCCAAAGCGGCGGGGAGCAUGGUGCGGUCUAGAUGUAAGUCCGUCCGGGGCAUGACCCCGAGAGGCGGGAGUGAGGGCGCGGACAGCGCAGAGCAAACGUCCGGACGGCGAGUGUGGGGUCAAAAACCAGGUCAGCCGGGGGAA